UACGUAGGGAGCGAGCGUUGUCCGGAUUCAUUGGGCGUAAAGAGCUCGUAGGCGGCUUGGCAAGUCGGGUGUGAAAACUCCAGGCUCAACCUGGAGACGCCACCCGAUACUGCCAUGGCUAGAGUCCGGUAGGGGACCACGGAAUUCCCGGUGUAGCGGUGAAAUGCGCAGAUAUCGGGAAGAACACCCGUGGCGAAGGCGGCUCUCUGGGACGGUACUGACGCUGAGACGCGAAAGCGUGGGGAGCGAACAGG
rnacentral:rRNA from 1 species